GCGAUAGGCCGAGCCGGAGUGGGGCGGUGGUGGUUGGCUGCCUGGGGACGGGUCGGUAGCCGUGCCUGUCAGAGUGGCUGGCGGCAGUGGCGGCUCUCCGGGCUGGGUUGUCAGUCAGUGAGCAGAGGGGGAAGAUGGCUCGCUGGGACCCGUUCUGUUAGGAAGAAGGGGGGGGCAGGUGGUGCUUCUACUCCGGAGAAAGCAGAGCAGCCGCCGUCGCUGUCGCUGGGAGUCAAACAAGCCGAGGUUCUGGAGGUGGAGCUCGGGAAGCCGCUCUGGUUGAAGGUCUAGAACAGAUGUGGAAAGAUGUUCACUUCAGAGAAAGGGGUUGUGGAGGAAUGGUUGUCAGAGUUUAAGACACUACCAGAAACAUCUUUACCAAAUUAUGCCACAAAUUUGAAAGACAAGAGUUCUUUAGUUUCAUCUCUGUAUAAAGUUAUCCAGGAGCCACAAAGUGAGUUGCUAGAACCCGUCUGUCACCAGCUCUUUGAAUUCUAUCGCAGUGGAGAAGAGCAGUUGCUUCGAUUUACACUGCAAUUUCUUCCAGAAUUGAUUUGGUGCUACCUUGCAGUCUCAGCCAGCAGAAAUGUGCAUAGCAGUGGAUGUAUUGAAGCUCUUCUUCUAGGGGUUUACAAUUUGGAAAUAGUUGACAAACAGGGACAUAGCAAAGUAUUGAGUUUUACGAUUCCGUCUUUAUCCAAACCAUCUGUAUAUCAUGAACCUUCCAGCAUUGGGUCCAUGGCUCUGACUGAGAGUGCGCUAUCCCAGCAUGGUUUGUCGAAAGUUGUGUACAGUGGACCUCACCCCCAAAGGGAGAUGCUGACAGCACAGAAUAGGUUUGAAGUAUUGACAUUCCUUUUGUUAUGCUACAAUGCUGCCUUAACCUAUAUGCCCAGUGUUUCUCUUCAAUCAUUGUGUCAGAUUUGUUCAAGAAUCUGUGUUUGUGGCUAUCCCCGACAACAUGUAAGAAAAUACAAAGGAAUAAGUAGCAGGAUACCAGUUUCUUCAGGGUUCAUGGUACAAAUGUUAACAGGAAUUUAUUUUGCUUUUUAUAAUGGAGAAUGGGAUCUAGCUCAAAAAGCAUUGGAUGAUAUUAUAUACAGAGCUCAGCUAGAAUUAUAUCCAGAGCCAUUGUUGGUUGCUAAUGCCAUAAAGGCUUCAUUGCCUCAUGGUGCCAUGAAGUCUAGUAAGGAGGGUACAAGGUGUAUUCAAGUUGAAAUCACACCAACUUCCUCUAGAAUAUCAAGAAAUGCAGUAACCAGCAUGUCAAUAAGAGGUCAUAGGUGGAAAAGACAUGGAAAUACAGAAUUAACAGGUCAAGAAGAACUCAUGGAGAUAUCUGAAGUUGACGAGGGAUUUUAUUCCCGGGCUGCGUCUAGUACUAGCCAAUCGGGUUUAUCAAACAGUAGUAACAAUUCUAGUAACAAGACAAGUGUAGGAAAGACUCAGAGACGGUCAGGAGGAAGCAAAACGGGAGGAAAAGAAAAAGAAACCACAGGGGAGUCUUGCAAAGACCACUUUGCCCGAAAACAAACUCAGAGAGCACAAAGUGAGAAUCUUGAGCUUCUCUCUUUGAAGAGACUGACAUUAACUACCAGCCAAUCUCUGCCUAAACCUUGUAGCCAUGGUUUGGCUAAGACAGCUGCAACUGUAUUCAGUAAAUCCUUUGAACAAGUCAGUGGUGUCACAGUCCCACAUAACCCAUCAUCUGCUGUUGGCUGUGGGCCUGGGACAGAUGCCAAUAGGUUUUCUGCUUGUAGUCUCCAAGAAGAAAAGCUUAUUUACGUUUCUGAAAGGACUGAACUUCCAGUGAAGCAUCCAUCAGGUCAGCAGAGACCUCCUAGUAUUAGCAUUACCUUGUCUACAGAUUAAUUUGUAAUAGUUUUCCCACCUAACUAGUGAAUCUAGAAAUACGACUCUGCUUCUUUAUGAAAGCACCCAUCGUCUUUCAUCCCUGUCCCAGACGGGAGCCCUUGUGUCUUAAAUUCUAAAGGCUACCUUGACCUUAUGAAGGGAAUAACGUGUAGGUUGUAAUAAGGUCAAACGUGGUUCUGUUAUUUCUUGGGUGUAUUUUCCCCCCUUGAUUUGAGUCUUUUUUUUUUCUUUCUUAUUUGUUUCUAUGGUCUAAGAUGGUCAGUGUCACAAUACAUUUUGGCAAGUUGUCUGAUCAAAUUGGGGACAUCUCAUGUGAGGUUGUGAGUUCUUAUUUUUUAAUAACUCCUAUUUUGGUAGUUGUAUGUUUGGCCCUCAGCGUAAAAGGGAAUCUCAUGCAUGGGAGCUGUUUUUGAAAGGAGGCAGAGUGUGCAACUCCAGGAAUUCUGUCGCUGACUGCACAACAGGGCAGUCUGAAAAUCAGGCAUGUUAAAAAAACAAGAAUGAUGUGUAUGAAAAGUGCCUGAUAAAAAUGUUUGUAAUCAGAUUGUCCUUAAGAUUAGUGGAAUCAUUUAUAUAAAGCACUGGAAAAAGCCUCGUAACUCAGUACCUAGACUAUUAUGUAAUUCCAGGGGAAGGGUAGAGGGAUUUCUGUUGUUAUCUUUGGAACAUUUUUAUAUAAAAAUCAGAUUGCCAGUAGAUGUGUCGUUUUGAAGUAUUUGAUCUGGAUUUAGCAGGUGAAAAUCCCUUUCAAUUCCUAAAACGUAAUCAGCCAUGAAGCUGACUUACCCUGCUGCUUGACUUUGGAAAUCCUAGGUAGUUUGGUUUCCUAGAAUUCAAAGUAUACAUCAUUGAAGUCUUCCUGGAAAUCAUCGUAAAUCGUGCAACACAGCUCUCAAGACACCGGUGUCAACCAUAUAAUAUUGAAUUGUUUGUCAGCAAAUGAAGGAAAUUAGGUAAAUUUUUCAUCUCUAAAAUGUCAUGAAAGAAAGCAUAAUGAAAUAUGGACAAAGGACAUUUAUGUAAUUAAUUUAGGUUUAUUUAUGUUUGUGCUCUUAAAUUUAGAAUUGUAAAAUAUGAAAGAAGUUAAAUAAUUUGUUUGUGAACAGGCCUAGUUUAAAUGUUCUUGUCAUGGUAGAAAGAAUAAUCAAUGUAGUUGGCCCCAACCAAAAAAUAAAAAUAAAAAAGGCAAUAUGGCAGAAGCUAAACAAACUUGUAUGUAGCUGUAGAGAACUGUGUGACCUCUAGAUAGAUGUAAAAUGUGGUAUUUGCUAGUGCUCGUCCUUUUAGCUGUGGUCAAGGCUCCCUGUAAAUCAAAUGUACGUAACUAAUAAUUCAGGGGGAGAGAAAGAAAGCAGGGCUGAGGAUAAGGGUAAGUUGACUGGGAGGGAAGGCCUGUCUGUCCCCUCUUUGUCUCCUUCACUAUUAAUGCACACUGGUUUCCUUAUUCACAGUCCCUAGCUGUAGUUGCACAGAAAAUGUUAGUUUUCCUUUUGUGCCUGCUUAUGCAGAGCUCAAAUGUGAAAAAUUUGUAUGUCCUAAAGAGUGCUAAAGCAUACGCUAUGAAUGCAGUUUUGAUCAUAACUGCUUUGGCUACCAUUUUAAAUUUAAAUCUUCAAAAAGCAUGAACUAGUUUUCAUUCAUUAAUCUUGAAUAGAAUAUGGCUUUUAUUAGAAGUGAAUUUGAGUUUUUUAGUUCCACUAAUAGAAAUGGAAUAAGAUCUAUUGCCAUAAACUGUAGUUUAAAAAAGAAAAAGAAAAAAAAAAGGUAAGACUAGACCAUGAAACUUGAUAUUGUAUUAAUUUAACAGGAAUCCUGUGUACAAUUUAAAAUAUUUGUAAAAUGUCACUGUGAAUUUCCUUUUGUCUUUUUCUAAUUCUUUAACAAAAAAAUUCCCUCAGGCAUAUAGCUACUAACAAUAUUAAUAGUCUUAAGAAUUAAUUUUAGAAGAUUGGCCUUUUAAGCAAGUCAAGUGCUUAGGAAACAUUGUAGAAUAAAUCUGAGGAAACAGCUGGCAGAAAUGAGAGAUCAGAUUUUAAUGAUCAACUGCUGUAAUGGAACCUCAUUUUGGUAUUAUUCUAGAUCAUUGCUACUCCUACAGUCUGAGGACCAGUAAGUAGCAUUGGCAUCACUAGGCAUCUUGUUAAAGAUGUAGAAUUUCAGAGCCACUUUUAAUCUACCGAAUCAUAAUCUGCCUUUUAACAAGAUCCUUAAGUGAUUUUUAUGUGCAUUAAAGUUUAAAAAGAGAGUAUCAAAAGUACAAAUUACCUACCUAAUAUUUGGAAUUUUCAGUGGUCUCACAACACUAGAUCAAAUAUGUUAGAUACUAAAUAUUAUAAUCUUCAUUGUUUUUAAUAGCUUAUAAAUUUUUAAUAGUGUCUAUGACACUUAUUAGAUCCUUACUUCUAAAUUUUUAAUGAUUUUCAUUUAUUUUUACAAUAAAAUUAUAACAUUUUAUAUUUUUCAUAUUAACUAUAAAUGGAAUCAGAGCUGUAGAUGCCUACCAUUUUAAGUAUGAAAGAGGUACCACCGUUUUUUACAAUGCACAACAAAUCUUCAUGUGUAUAUUCUUUAAAGAACUCUGAAGGCUUACUUAGUGGAGUGGUUCUGAAUUUUUGUUUCAAGUAAUUUGCACGAGUUGAUUUCCUGGAAGUUAUGUUGACAGUAAAAUUAUUUAAUAGCACCUUUGAUACUAUUUCAAAUAAGGGUUAUACAUUUGAAAAUUUUUAUAGCAAUUAUAAAUAUUGGAUAAAUGCUAACUAUGGUAACAACUAAAAUUAUCCCUCUUACUCAGCUUUCCAGAUUUUAAAGUUGGGGUGACUUUUUUAGGUCAUUUUUUCACAAAGAUGCUAAUGUAACCAUUUGGUCACAGAUCUCCUCUAUAUCUUUAUCACAAAAAGGAUUCUGCCCCAAAUGGGAAAUUGCACCCCAUAGUUCAAAGGAUCUGAACAAAAAUGAUAGUUCCAUUCCACAUUUUAAGCCAUUAGGGAGUCUUAAAAUUACCCAACCUCUCACUCUUCAACUACUCAACUACCUGGGGUAUUCUAGUGAAGGUAGGUCCCAGCAUUUGCCUUUGGAAUUGAGUAGGGACUUGCCUUUGGAAUCAAGUUCAAGGGAGUGUCCCCAGAGGACCUAGGACAGGUGAGCACCCUGGAACCCCUUGUACUCCACCAUGGAACUUUUUGAGGCAGCUCUGUAGAUUUGAAGGGUAGAAAUUCUCAGUCCUUAAAUGAUGACAAAGUUUGUUUUGAAAAAGCAGUAUUUUGUUGCCCUUUUCAAUUAUGAAGCAACUGCUUAAUAAACAAAACAAAAAGUUAAAGGGAAAUAGGUUUUUUGAACCAAAAUAGAUAAAAAUGAUACCAGUUUUAAGGGAUUUUGCCUAUUUUGGAAGACUCAAAUUACAAUGUUAAAACCUUUACAUUUAAAUUAUAGAGAAAAAAAUUGUACUCUGAGACAUAAUUUUAAAUAGAUAUUUAAAAUAAGACUUUAACAUUUGACUCUAUAGGCACAAUAAAUUUACACUUUGUUAAAGGGAAGCACAUCAAGGAAAUCUAUAUCAUAAAUAAUAUAACAAAAAAUGUUUCUUAAAAAGCCAUUAAAGAGAAGAAUAAUUUGAUGGACACUUAAGUUAAGCAUUGUAGAUAGAAAUAAAUGUAUAAUAGUGUCUUCCCAGUCUUUGGAUAAAAAAUAUAAACUCUCUAGUCCUUUACUUAGCAUGAAAUUUAUAUUUUUAGAUUAGUUGCUUAGUAAAAUUAUACUCAGUACUUGAGUUAUUCACAUUUAUGUUCAAUAUUGUUAAAUUCUUUAUCAGAGAACAUAAAUAUGUUAUCCUAUGUAUUUUGUAACUUGUGCAUAUCUAAAAAGACUAGCAGUGAACAUUUUGGAAGAUGUUUUUGUGUUUUUUUAUAGCAGAGAUCUAGAGUACCUGUGUCUUAAUAUGAAGUUUCUUUUAGUAAACUCAAGAUCUUAUUUUGCAUACCUUUGCUUUCUCUUAUGUAGGGUUUUUUGUGUACUGCUUAUCUUUAUUUCUAAUCCUGUAGUGAUACUAAUCUUUUCAUAGUAAAUGUACUUGUUUCUAAUUGUAUUCCAGGAGUUUACAUUCCUAAAGAAUAAACUAUGACUUUGCAUAUUUUUAUGUGCUCUCUACAUUUUUAAGGCUAUGGAAAUAAACUGGAGUUUAGUUUUUUGAAGUUUUGUAUAUUUGUGUAAAUGUCCUUAUGCAGUACUUUAUACAGCAGUGUUGCCUCUUGUUUUAUUGAAAUAAAAACUGAAAAAAUAUGUUUUCCAGAUCAUUUUACUCAUUAAAAAUCAUCAUAAAUUUUUGCAAAAGUCAUGAUGUGGAGGAAGAAAGUUAAAGGAGGAAGACUUAGGGGGAAGCAAGGGAAGCCGACAGAAUAGAGUCUCAAGUGAUGUGGACCCAGUUUCUUGCUGGAAUUUGCAAAGCCGAUUUAAGC